GGAAGAGCCAUAGCUCAGUGGCAGAGCAUCUCAUUUGUACACAGAAACUCCAGGUACAAUCCCUGGUACCUCCA